rnacentral:rRNA from 1 species
CCUACGGGAGGCAGCAGUGGGGAAUAUUGGGCAAUGGAGGCAACCCUGACCCAGCAACGCCGCGUGAAUGAUGAAGGUCUUCGGAUUGUAAAGUUCUUUUCUAAGGGAAGAAGAAAGUGACGGUACCUUAGGAAUAAGCCGCGGCUAACUACGUGCCAGCAGCAGCGGUAAUACGUAGGAGGCAAGCGUUAUCCGGAAUGACUGGGCGUAAAGGGUGCGUAGGUGGUUUGACAAGUUAGUAGCGCAACUCCGGGGCUCAACUUCGGAACUCCUACUGAAACUGUUGGACGUGAGUGCAGGAGGGGCAAUCGGAAUUCCUAGUGUAGCGGUGAAAUGCGUAGAUAUUAGGAGGAACACCAGUGGCGAAGGCGGAUUGCUGGACUGUAACUGACGCUGAGGCACGAAAGCGUGGGGAGCAAACAGGAUUAGAUACCCGAGUAGUC